GUGAGGCCUCACGGAGCCUGCACGGGUGGGCGGGAAACAGUUUCCGGCCCAGGUGAAGGCAGGAUUGGAGCUGAUCUCACUUGAUUCCCAGCCGAAGAAUAACCUGUUUCCGGGCCGGGGAUUUAGCUCAGUGGUUCCGCCGCCUGCCUCACAGGCCCAAGGACCCAAGUUCGAUCCCCGGUAUCAAAAAAAAAAAAAAAAAGAGUAACGUGUUUCCUCCCCUCCCCUCCGGUAUGAGUGCUGCAAGUUCUGCCUCGGGCGAAGUGUCUGUAAUUCCCACCAAAGACCUGGGGAGUUUCUGAGAUUCGUUCAGUGGCACACUAGUAGCUGAUGAGGAAGACCGGCCGAGACCUGAAACCAUCUAACUCCUACAGGACUUAAUCAAUCAGAUCUACUACCUAAAGUGACAUUUACCAUUCUGUCAGAUGCCUCUGGCAGCUAAAUGUUCCCUUACUGAAGUCUGGACCUUAUAAGAUUACCAGUCAUCCAUGAAAAUAAUGUCA